GUGCUCGCUUCAGCAGCACAUAUACUAAAAUUGGAACGAUACAGAGAUUAGCAUGGCCCCUGUGCAAGAAUGAAAAUCCACUCCCCUAUAAAAGCCAGGAGUUC